UUUCGGUGGACACAACAUCUUUGUUUGUAUGUGGUGCUGAGGAUCGAACCUGGGCUGCAUGCAUCCCAGGCGAGCGUGCUACCUCUUGAGCCACAUCCCCAACCCCACAAGCUUUAUUUUUUAGAGCAAUUUUGGGUUCAACACAAAAUUGAAAAGUACAGAGAAUUCCCAUGUACCUCUGCCUGGCACAUGUACCACCUCUUCCAUUACUGACAUCCUGUACAAUUAAACAAUGUGCAAGACUGGCACAUUAUUACAGUCCACGAACCUACACAGACACAUAAUUAUCACUCAAAGUCUAUAGUUUAUAUUAGAGUUCACUCUUGGUGGUAUACAUUCUAUGAGGUUUAUUUUUUUGUUUCUUUUUAAAUUUUUUAGUUAUAUAGGUGGAAACAAUAUCUUAUUUUUUAUUUUUAUGUGGUGCUGAGGAUCGAACCCAGUGCCUCACGCAUGGUAGGCAAGUGCUCUACCUCUGAGCCACACCCCAUCCCUCCUAUUUUUUGUUUCUGGUUUUCAUGCUGGGGACUGAACCCAGGGCCUCCUGCAUGCUAGGCAACCAAUCCCUCUACCACUGAGCUCCUCCCACCCCUGUUGUAUUACAUUGAUGUAUUUGUUCUUUCAUCAAUACCACCUGUGGUUACUGAAGCUAUAUUAGGUUAUGAACCUGGGUCAUGUCAGUUCUCUGCCUUUGUUCUUCAAUAUUGUAUUGACUGUUCCGAGUCUUUUGCCUCUCUAUCUAAACUUAAGAACUAGUCUGCUGCUAUCCCAGAAUAAUAUCCUGGAAUUUUUAUCAGCAUUUCAUUGGAUCUGUAGAACAAGUUGAGAAGAAGGGAUGUAUUAACAAUGCCGAGUCUUAAUCAUGAACAUAGAAUACCCCCAUCCCAGGCAGCAGGAGAUUAUCUAACUUUUUGUUCUUAACCAAACUGUAGCUGAAAUAUGAUAUCUUAGUGUAGUUUUAAUUGGCAUUUGUCUUUUGUUGUGGUUAAGCAACUUUUAAUAGGUUAAAGUAUAUGAAGUUGUCAUUUUUAUAAGUCAAAAUUGACAAUUUUGUAUAGUUCAAAGUAACAUAUUUGUUAGUACUGGUGCGCAACGGUAAUCUCAGCUACUCAGGAGGCUGAGGCAGGAAGAUGGCAAGUUUGAGGCCAGCCUGGGCAAUAAUAAACCCUGUCUCAAAUAAAAAUCAAAAGGGCUGGGGAGGUAGCUCAGUGGUAGAGAGCUUGCCCAGAAUGCUUGAGGCCUGAGUUUGAUCUCCAGCACCACAAAAACCAAAAACAUUAGUAUAUUUAAGAGCCGCUUUACUCAGAGCAGUUUUUGUUCUUUGCUUAUUUUUCUACCAGGUUGUUGGUCUUUUUUCUUUCUUCUUCUUAAUAAUGAAUAGUAGGAGAUAUUUAUAUUUUAUGCAAACUAAACUUCUGUGUGUCAUUUGAAUUGUGAAUUUUUCUAGUUUGUCAUUUAAUUUUGCCAAUGGUAGUUUUUUUAAAAAUAUUUUUUUAAUUGAUGGACCUUUAUUUAUCUUUCUGAGGUGCUGAGGAUUGAACCCAGUGCCUCACACAUGCUAGGCAAACACUCUACCACUGAGCUACAGCCCCAGCCCACCAAUGGUAGUAUUUGUGUGUAAAUUUUUAAAAAUAUUUUUACUUGUAGAUGGACACAAUACCUUUAUUUUAUUUAUUUAUUUUUAUGUGGUGCUGAGGAUUGAACCCAGCGCCUCACAUGUGCUAGGCAAGUGCUCUACCACUGAACCACAACCUCAGCCCUAUAUGUAGAUAUUUUGGAUGUUAACUUUGUCACUUGAUUAAGAUCACAAUUGCUAGAUUUAUCCACAAUAAAGUUACCCCCACACACUUUCCAUGCUGUAUUCUUUGGAAGCCAGUGGCUACAUCUAUCUCACAGGAGGGUGGGACUAGUUUAUUUAUUUAUCUAUCUAUUUAUUUAUUUAUUUUUAUGGGUACUGAGGAUCGAACCCAGGGCCUCGCACGUACUAGGUGAGCGCUCUACCACUGACACAACCUCAGCCCCCUGUGUGACCUUUUAAUGAUGAAAGCUGGAUUAUAUCAAAUUUCCUGCUUGUGCUUUUGGAUGGCUGCCCACUGUGCGCAGAGUGAGAGGUGAGUCUGUGCCUGGCCUGAGAGAUCUUGCCUGGGGCAGGAGGUUGGCAAGUUUGAGGCCAGCCUGGCAAUUUAGCAGGACUGUCUCAAAUUGAAAAGUCCAAGGGUCUGAGAAUGCAGCCCUUUGAGCAACUCUGACUCCUCCUGAAAUGCUCCUUCUCCAGAAAAGUCCUCCCAAUCCCAAAUCUCAUUAGACCUCCCUGUGAAGACCCAGUAUUUUUCCUCAUGUGGCAAAUAGUACCUGGUGGUCACUCAAAUCCUUUCUCUUCUUCUUUGGUAGUAAUGAACUUGCCACUGGACAUGUGAUACCCAUCUACACUUCAUUUCAACCCUCCCUUGAGGUUGGUUGGACCAUGUGACAAGUUCUCUUUAGUGGAAUUUGACUUGGGAUGAUGUGUGCCACUCUCUGGAGUGGCCCAUAGACAUUCCUAUGCAUGCCCUCCAUCCCGAGGACAGGAAUGACCCUGUUAUGGUUAGGAUAUAAGGUGUCCCCCCAAAAGCUGCUGUUAAUAUUCAGAGGUGAAAUAAUCAGAGUAUGAAAAUGGUAACCUAAUCAGUCCACCCUAGUUUGAUUGGACUAAUUUGGUGACAACUGUAGGCAGGUGGGUGUGCUAGAGAAGCUGGGUUUUUGAGGAUGCAUGUACACUGGAGGGCUUCGUCUUCUACUUCUUGGCUGCAAUGCAACUUUCCUCCACCUUGCUCUUCUGUCAUGAUGUUCUGCCUUUCCAUGGGUCCAGAGCAUUGGAGUUGGCCGACCAUGGACUGAACCUCUGAAACUGUAAACCCCAAAUAAAUUUUUCCUCCUUUAAGUUGUUUUUGUCUGAUAGUUUGUCAGACAAACAAAUAAAUAAAAUGACCAAAAUAAAUAAAUAACAACAACAAAAAACCCCAGACUACUACAGGCUCCAAACAGAUGACCAUGGGAGUGGCAUGCAAAUGGGUACUACUAGGGUGCUUCGAUGACAGCAUUGGGCAGGCAGCCCCACCAACCUGGACCCCUGGUCUAAACUGCUCUAUGAGGGAGAAUCACAUCUCUGGGGCCUAUUUGUUUCUGCAGCUUAGCCUAUGCCAAUGUGAACCUUCUAGUUCAGUUCACAUGUGAUCAGUGGCGAGCAGCAAAAGGCUGAAGGAGUAAAGGGAAGGCUUUGAGUCUGAAUGGAAGAGUAGGUUUAUUAUGCCUUUUGUAUAUUUCAAUGACAACCCGAGAGAUGUGGAAUAAAAUAUCCACCCUCACAAAUGCAGUGCCGGGAACUUUCCCAAGCUUGCAAGAAGCAAGUACGAGAAGCAAAGAGAAGCCUGAGCUCCAGAGGAGCAGCCGGUGAGCCGGGAGGUUGGCAGCCCCAAGGGCUGGUGAUGGGUAGAAGCUUGGUGUUUUGUUGUUGUUGUUCUGUUAGUGACUUCAAAGUAGCAUUCAGUGGGGGCUGGGAUAAGCUCAUUGGUAGAGUGCUUGCCCCACAUGCACAAGGCCUUGGGUUCAAUCCCCAGCACCACAAAAUGAGCAUUGACGGUCCUCUGCUAGUCACUCUGCAGAGCUCUUGACUGGCACCUGCUCAUUUAAUUAUCACCUCCUUAGGAGGGAGGUGCUGUUAAUGUCCUUACUUUAUGAGGAGCCCAAAGCAUAGAGAAAUUAAGUUACUUGUCUUUGAUCUCAGGCUGGAAAGAGAUUAGAGGUGAGACUGAACCCAGGACAUAUGGCUUUCUGAGUCAGUGUUCUUAAGGCACCAUAAGUCACUACAGUAUGCCAGGGUCAUAAGUAGAAAGAUGAGUAAAAACAGGACCAGCUUUUACCUUGGGAGUGAUGGUCCCACAUGCCUCCAUCAAAACCCAUACAUCCUGUGUCCCAGCAGGACCCCUGCAUUAGACCAGAGAACAGAACUCUGUUCACCAUAAUUCAUUUUCUGGUGCUAUAACAAAAUACUCAAGACCAGGUGAUUUAUAAAGAUUAGAGAUUUAUUUAGCUCACAGUUCUGGAAGCUGGGAAGUCCAAGAACCUGGUUUUGGUCUCUGGUCAGGGCUUCUUAUCGCAUCUUAAUGACAGAGGCAUCCUAUGGUGAGAUAGCAAGGUGCAUCAGAGAGAGCUCAUAACAUUAUUUGUGUUAUGAAUAAUGGAUUAAUUCCCCAAGCCCCCACCAUACCAUUAAUAGUUGAUUUAGAGAGUUGUUUCCAAAACCUGAAUUCCAGGAACACAUCCAAACCACAGCGCUCUUCCUUCUGCUUUCCAAGCUGUCAGUAGCCCUGCCAGUUCAGGUCUGUGGGGGAGGAGGUUUAAAUUCUUCUUACUCACUACGUUCUUCCCUUCUGAAGAACUGGGAGUUGUAAUAUUACUACCAGGCUCUGCCCUACAGCACUACAGCCCCCUGUGCUCCACCUAUCCUGGGAAGCCUCCUGGGAAUCAGCAGGGUAGUGGCUGUCUUGUGGGAAUUGGCCACAGGAGCUACUAUUAGAAAUAAGUUCAGAUUUCCCUUUAUGGAGCUGCAGUUGUGGCAUAGGCAGAGAGGAACAGGGAUCAGGAACCCUACAUUACAGGUGGAGCAUCCCUAAUCCCAAAAUCUCAAAUCCAAAAUUUUUUUUUCUUUCUUUUUUUUAUUGGUUGUUCAAAACAUUACAAGGCUCUUGACAUAUCAUAUUUCAUACAUUAGAUUCAAGUGGGUUAUGAACUCCCAUUUUUACCCCAAAUACCAAAAUGUUUUAAAAUCCGAGACUUUUUGAGCACUGACAUAUUGCUGCAAGCGGAAAAUUCCACAUUAUAAAACAUUGCUUCAUGCAUAAAAUUAUGUGAGAUAUUUUAUUAAGGUACCUUUAGACUCUGAAUAAAUCAUAUAUGAAACAUAAAUGAAUUUCCUGCUUAGGAUCAGGUCUCAGCCCAAUGUCUCAUUAUGUAUAUACAAAUAUUCCAAAAUGGGAAAAUUCCCAAAUCCAAGACAUUUCUGGUCCCAAGCAUUUUGGAUAAGGUAGAUGCAACCCGUAUUUCAUGUCCUUGGGAUCCUCCAGACAUGCAUCGUUCUUGUGUCAUUCUGUGCAUAAGUGCCAUAUAUCACAGCAUAAUCAUCACCACCACAUAAUCAUUGUGCC
rnacentral:tRNA from 1 species